rnacentral:rRNA from 1 species
GAUGAACGCUGGCGGCGUGCCUAAUACAUGCAAGUCGAGCGAACGGACGAGAAGCUUGCUUUUCUGAUGUUAGCGGCGGACGGGUGAGUAACACGUGGAUAACCUACCUAUAAGACUGGGAUAACUUCGGGAAACCGGAGCUAAUACCGGAUAAUAUUUUGAACCGCAUGGUUCAAAAGUGAAAGACGGUCUUGCUGUCACUUAUAGAUGGAUCCGCGCUGCAUUAGCUAGUUGGUAAGGUAACGGCUUACCAAGGCAACGAUGCAUAGCCGACCUGAGAGGGUGAUCGGCCACACUGGAACUGAGACACGGUCCAGACUCCUACGGGAGGCAGCAGUAGGGAAUCUUCCGCAAUGGGCGAAAGCCUGACGGAGCAACGCCGCGUGAGUGAUGAAGGUCUUCGGAUCGUAAAACUCUGUUAUUAGGGAGGAACAUAUGUGUAAGUAACUGUGAACAUCUUGACGGUACCUAAUCAGAAAGCCACGGCUAACUACGUG